GGUUAAGUGACUAAGCGUACACGGUGGAUGCCUAGGCAGUCAGAGGCGAUGAAGGGCGUGCUAAUCUGCGAAAAGCGUCGGU
rnacentral:rRNA from 1 species